GAAAAGUCUCGCAAAUACGGUUGUAACAAUAAAAAACAAAUACUCUUCAUGGUCAUAAAUUCUUAUAAAUAAUAUGCGAAAUCGUCAAACGAAAGUUAUCCGCUUGAUGAAGGUCUGAGCUGGCUCUUCCGACCAGCUGUCAUCUGCGAGGCGGUUUGGACACCACUCAGCCUCGUAACCCGCACCACCGGGUUCCACAGAGUGGGGACAACUUUUCUACAAGUGAGGAAUGUCAGACCAUAAAGGAGUGCUACUCUUUUCAGUGCAUUUUUCGAGACCGAUUCCAAAGUCCGGCUCCCUGGCGGCGGCGGCGUUGUCCACUUGACCAGGCGACAGACCCAGCAACAACAACGCUGACAGGGACAAACGCAAUGCAGCAACACCAAGAGCAACAGCAACUGCAACGGCAACAGCAACAACCACAGCUGCAACAUGGAUGACACGUCAAUCUCGAGCUGCCCACUUGGUGCAUGCAACAGGGAACUGGAUUUGCCCAUUCGAGAAGUUCCAGCCGCGACAAAUUAAGCUGCAACGACCAGAACGACUCCUUGUACUUCCCAUUAAUUAGCACUAAAAUAAACAGAUCUGUGGCGAGGGGUCGGUGUCGGACCCUGGCCUUUCGUUUUCUACGAAAUCACGGACAUCUAUCAGCAGCAACAUGCCACACGACGUUGUAGACUGUCCGUUAAGGCAUCUGACAGCCGCCUAAGCAGUCAAUUGAUAUGCCCAAAGUGGGCACAGCCAACAUCCAAUAUCCAGCAUUCAGAAUCCAGCCUCAUAGAAGGGCACCAGCCAUAGCCAUCUAGCGAACCAACCAAAUCGAAUUCGAUUGAAGAUGCUGCCGAAGAUGACGAGGAACGCUCCCGAUAUGAUAGACAACAUAUCAAUUUGGGGUGGCUGGUGCUUACCCCACCAUUACACUGGAACAGCAGUUCCUAACUUAAUGAAUUCAGUUGGGUACUUGGAAACACCACAAUUUUUAUACACAUGCUUCGUGGUAUUUACAAAAUCUAAGCAUACAUUGCUUAGAUUUAUUUUUUAAAGGUAUAAUUGCAUUAGAGACUUUAUUAUUUAAAAUCCAAUUUUGAAAACAGUUUAUCGAGCAAUUUAAAAACAGUUUAUAAACAUCCUAUAGCAUAGUAUCUUAUUAAAACUAAAUAAAUAAAUGAUGUCCUAGACUUUAAGUCUUUUUGUUAAUCCGUUCUUUUAGCAGAAUAUUGUAUUGUUAGACUUGCUCUAUACAGUCCCAUACUACAUAAUAAAUAAUCCUGAAUUUA